rnacentral:rRNA from 1 species
UACGUAGGGGGCAAGCGUUGUCCGGAUUUAUUGGGCGUAAAGAGCGUGUAGGCGGUCAGGUAGGUCCGUUGUGAAAACUCGAGGCUCAACCUCGAGACGCCGAUGGAAACCAUCUGACUAGAGUCCGGAAGAGGAGAGUGGAAUUCCUGGUGUAGCGGUGAAAUGCGCAGAUAUCAGGAGGAACACCAAUGGCGAAGGCAGCUCGCUGGAACGGUACUGACGCUGAGGCGCGAAAGCGUGGGGAGCGAACAGG